rnacentral:rRNA from 1 species
AAUCAGAGGCGGAGCAUUGCCCCUCUUUUUUGACCUAAGGCUCUCUUCGCGGGCCGAUCUAGGCGAAAGACAUUGUCAGGUGGGGAGUUUGGCUAGGACAGCACAUCUAUUAAAAAAUAACGCAGGUGUCCUAAGAUGAGCUUAACGAGAACAGAAAUCUUAUGUGGAAGAGAAGGGUAAAAGCUCGUUUGAUUCUAAUUUUUAGUACGAAUACGAACCGUGAAAGCAUGGCCUGACUGUCCUUUAGACCUUUGAAAUUUGAAGUUAAAGGUGCCAGAAAAGUUACCGUAGGGAUAAUUGGCUUGUGGCAGCCAAGCAUUCAUAGCGACGUUGCUUUUUAAUCCUUCAAUAUUGACUCUUCCUAUCAUUGUGAAAUAGAAUUCACCAAGUGUUGGAUUGUUCACCCACCAAUGGCGAAUGUGAGCUGGGUUUAGACCAUCGUGAGACAUGUUAGUUUCACCCGACUGAUGACAGUGUCUCACUAGUCGUUCAACCAGUACAAGAGGAACCGUUGAUUCUUACAAUUGGUCAUCGCGCUUGGUUGAAAAGCCAGUAGCACGAAGCUACCGUGCGCUGGAUUAUGACUAAAUGCCUCUAAAUCAGAAUUCGGGCUAAAAGAGAUGAACGCACCUGCCAUCCGCUUCUCGACUCGCAGUAGGGGCCUUACGGCCC